AGAGGAUGUCCCACUUGCCUCUGAGAGGUACACAAAGUUCCUUGAGGAAAUUAUGGAGGACAACAAGAAGGAUUCCUG
rnacentral:lncRNA from 11 species